UGUAUUUCACUGAGAGCACUUUGUAUCAGCACAUCAAGGAGAGACAUCAGAGUGAAGCGAAGGGACAAGAAAUCACCAGAUAGCAAAGAUGCAGUGGAGUCUGUUUCUGCUCAUUCUGAUGGGUCAGUGUUCCUUCUUCACAUGUCGCCUCUAUGAGUAUCACUUUAUUGAAGAGGAAAAGACCUGGGAAGAAGCCCAGAAAUAUUGCAGGGAGGAAUACACUGACCUAGCCACAGUGUACAACAUGACAGAC